rnacentral:rRNA from 1 species
CCUACGGGAGGCAGCAGUGGGGAAUAUUGCACAAUGGGCGAAAGCCUGAUGCAGCGACGCCGCGUGAGGGACGACGGCCUUCGGGUUGUAAACCUCUUUCAGCAGGGACGAAGCGCAAGUGACGGUACCUGCAGAAGAAGCACCGGCUAACUACGUGCCAGCAGCCGCGGUAAUACGUAGGGUGCAAGCGUUGUCCGGAAUUACUGGGCGUAAAGAGUUCGUAGGCGGUUUGUCACGUCGUUUGUGAAAACUCACAGCUCAACUGUGAGCCUGCAGGCGAUACGGGCAGACUUGAGUACUGCAGGGGAGACUGGAAUUCCUGGUGUAGCGGUGAAAUGCGCAGAUAUCAGGAGGAACACCGGUGGCGAAGGCGGGUCUCUGGGCAGUAACUGACGCUGAGGAACGAAAGCGUGGGUAGCGAACAGGAUUAGAUACCCUGGUAGUCCACGCCGUAAACGGUGGGCGCUAGGUGUGGGUUCCUUCCACGGAAUCCGUGCCGUAGCUAACGCAUUAAGCGCCCCGCCUGGGGAGUCGGCCGCAAGGCUAAAACUUAAANGAAUUGACGCCCGAAGGCACGACGAGGGAUAGG